rnacentral:rRNA from 1 species
UACGGGAGGCAGCAGUGAGGAAUAUUGGUCAAUGGGCGAAAGCCUGAACCAGCAACGCCGCGUGAGGGAUGAAGGCCUUCGGGUCGUAAACCUCUUUUCUGGGAGAAGAGACAAGGACGGUAUCCCAGGAAUAAGUCUCGGCUAACUACGUGCCAGCAGCCGCGGUAAUACGGGGGGUGCAAGCGUUGUUCGGAAUUAUUGGGCGUAAAGAGCGUGUAGGCGGCCGGAUGUGUCAGAUGUGAAAGCCCUGGGCUUAACCCAGGAAGUGCAUUUGAAACUGUCCGGCUUGAGUAGGGGAGAGGGAAGUGGAAUUCCUGGUGUAGAGGUGAAAUUCGUAGAUAUCAGGAGGAACACCGGUGGCGAAGGCGACUUCCUGGCCCUAUACUGACGCUGAGACGCGAGAGCGUGGGUAGCAAACAGGAUUAGAUACCCUGGUAGUCCACGCCGUAAACGAUGUUCACUAGGUGUUGGGGGUAUUGACCCCCUCAGUGCCGGAGCUAACGCAUUAAGUGAACCGCCUGGGGAGUACGGUCGCAAGACUAAAACUCAAAGGAAUUGACGGGGA